CGCUGGCGGCGUGCUUAACACAUGCAAGUCGAACGAUGAAGCCCUUCGGGGUGGAUUAGUGGCGAACGGGUGAGUAACACGUGGGCAAUCUGCCCUUCACUCUGGGACAAGCCCUGGAAACGGGUCUAAUACCGGAUACCACUCCUGCCUGCAUGGGCGGGGGUUGAAAGCUCCGGCGGUGAAGGAUGAGCCCGCGGCCUAUCAGCUUGUUGGUGGGGUAAUGGCCCACCAAGGCGACGACGGGUAGCCGGCCUGAGAGGGCGACCGGCCACACUGGGACUGAGACACGGCCCAGACUCCUACGGGAGGCAGCAGUGGGGAAUAUUGCACAAUGGGCGAAAGCCUGAUGCAGCGACGCCGCGUGAGGGAUGACGGCCUUCGGGUUGUAAACCUCUUUCAGCAGGGAAGAAGCGAAAGUGACGGUACCUGCAGAAGAAGCGCCGGCU
rnacentral:rRNA from 1 species